GACGUAGGGCGCGAGCGUUGUCCGGAUUUAUUGGGCGUAAAGAGCUCGUAGGCGGCUCGUUGCGUCGGCUGUGAAAAACCCGCAGCUCAACUGUGGGCUUGCAGCUGAUACGGGCGGGCUGGGAUUCGGUAGGGGAGACUGGAAUUCCUGGUGUAGCGGUGAAAUGCGCAGAUAUCAGGAGGAACACCGGUGGCGAAGGCGGGUCUCUGGGCAUUAACUGACGCUGAGGAGCGAAAGCUAGGGUAGCAAACGGG
rnacentral:rRNA from 1 species